CUGGGGAUUGAACCCAGGGCCUUGUGCAUGCGAGGCAAGCACUCUACCAUCUGAGCUAUAUUCCCAGCCCCUAUAACUCAUCUACUCUGACCCCUCUGGGUGGAUCUGAACUGUAUUGUUCGAUGCCCUGCUUCCGGCUAGUCUAUCACUGCAGUGUGUCCAUGCUGGGACAAAUCUUAACACACCACCAGAAAAACUUUUCUUCUGAAGAGAUUUAGUACAAGUGUGAUCCAAUGUAAAUAGCCACGGGCUUGUGGGCAACAUAGAAAUUUCACAUUUUCCACGUGCAGUAGUUUCAGCAUAAAGAUAUUUCUGCAAAGUGGAUUUGAUUUCAUGUCAUUACCUUCGGGACUUCAGAUGCACUAAGAAGAAUGGAUAAAUGCCACUCGGAUCAGAGAAACCACAGUUUUUCAAGAAUGAGUAAAUAUGUCAAGCACACAAUUUAUCUGCAGCAUGUAAUCAUGGCAGAUGAUUUAUUGAAAAAUAGCACAGCUUACAAAAGCAGACCCAGAAUUGGAUUCCAUCUAGAUGGGUGACUUGGAAGGUGUCCAGCUGGAUUCCUGUUUAUGUCUGGACUCCUUCUCGUAUUUCUUCAGCCUCUGCUUGUCUUGAACCCUGAACCCAGCGAGACUCUCAAUUGACUGAAAUAUGUGAGAAAAACAAACACCCUACUUUCUGUUCCUCAGCCAGAAGUUUCUCAGCAUAGACAAUAGGCCAUUAUGCCAUGAGCCACAAAAGGCUGCCGGGCUACAGUUUCCAUUAACAAAUUGAGCAGUACAAUUUACAUGUCUCCCAGAAAUGAUCAAGAAGGCUACAUGAAUCAAUUUGAAGUCUGCUUGAGUUACAUGUGAGAGGAUGAACAUUUUUAAUGUGGGAGAGUGGACAGAUUUUCCUACUUCCCCAAGUUGGCCAAAGAGAAUCUAAUAAUUUCUGGAUCAUUCUUUUAUGCAACCUUCUCAUCUUACAAAAAGGGGGCUUUUAUUGAAAAGCUAAUCUGUGCAAUAAAGGUGAAAAGUCCA